ACAGUCAUCCCCCUGCCUCAC
rnacentral:miRNA from 1 species